AAAAAUCCACUUCGAAAACGAAGUAUCAAGAGAACUCUAAUUGGCUUACAUUGCGGAAAAGCCCAGAGACAUAGCUGUGGCUUUGGGAAUAGCGGAAACGAAGAUUUCGGGAGAAAACACACGACGGGCACAGACAGAGAUCAGUCCAAACCGAGGGCACCUGCCUUGCCAGAGAGGUUGGAAUAGAUUCUGGGGACAAGGAUGGCAUCUGUCUUCUGGACUCUUCUACCCGCGGUGCUCAAGACCAGGUUUGGCCCAUGGCAUACGGCCUUCUUCCCUUCCCCGCCAGCAUCUUCGGAGGGUGUCCGCACAUAUUCCGUGUUCCCGUCUCCACCUCAUGCUCAGUUCUUACCCAUCCCUCUCCGGCUGCACCUCUGUCGCUCCACUGACACACGGGUGACACGCUCCUUGUCCGCAUCCUCAUCUCACAUGCCCCGUCAGGCACAACGGACGCAGGUGACUCAUCCCCUUGGGAACCCCUCUGGGCCCAAUCCCGCCCCUGGUUGCUCCAUCUCAGCCUCUCCCAGGCUGCCGGCAUUUCAUAAGGCCUGGUCCCAGGGCCCCCGUGUUGUCCGCUCUGUCCUCUCUCACUGGGCAGGUCCCUCGCAUUAGGUUAUUUAGGCUCUCCUGUUACUAGGUGUAUGUCUGUUGUCCUAGGAGUGUCAAUGUCCCUACUCCUCCCCUGCUGAGAACGUGGUAGGACUUUCCCUUCUCCUAGCGACGUGGUCACGGACACGAGCACAAGUCAAAUACGCCUUUUCGGGGCAAAAGCUUUAAGAAUCGGUAUGCAAUUGACUAUGUGUCCUUUCCCUGCCGUUAUCCUAGUGAAAGCAUGUGUUAGGAUGGGUGUUUCAUCAGCCUGAUCCUUGAGUGUCUGUGAUAAGCAAAGCCUUCUUGAUGACCUAUUUUUGGAUAAAAA